GGUUAAGCGACUAAGCGUACACGGUGGAUGCCCUGGCAGUCAGAGGCGAUGAAGGGCGUGCUAAUCUGCGAUAAGCGCCGGUAAGGUGAUAUGAACCGUUAUAACCGGCGAUACCCGAAUGGGGAAACCCAGUGUGACUCGUCACACUAUCAUUAACUGAAUCCAUAGGUUAAUGAGGCGAACCGGGGGAACUGAAACAUCUAAGUACCCCGAGGAAAAGAAAUCAACCGAGAUUCCCCCAGUAGCGGCGAGCGAACGGGGAGGAGCCCAGAGCCUGAAUCAGCAUGUGUGUUAGUGGAAGCGUCUGGAAAGGCGCGCGAUACAGGGUGACAGCCCCGUACACAAAAGCGCAUGUGCUGUGAGCUCGAUGAGUAGGGCGGGACACGUGGUAUCCUGUCUGAAUAUGGGGGGACCAUCCUCCAAGGCUAAAUACUCCUGACUGACCGAUAGUGAACCAGUACCGUGAGGGAAAGGCGAAAAGAACCCCGGCGAGGGGAGUGAAAAAGAACCUGAAACCGUGUACGUACAAGCAGUGGGAGCACCCUUUGGGGUGUGACUGCGUACCUUUUGUAUAAUGGGUCAGCGACUUAUAUUCUGUAGCAAGGUUAACCGAAUAGGGGAGCCGGAGGGAAACCGAGUCUUAACCGGGCGUUAAGUUGCAGGGUAUAGACCCGAAACCCGGUGAUCUAGCCAUGGGCAGGUUGAAGGUUGGGUAACACUAACUGGAGGACCGAACCGACUAAUGUUGAAAAAUUAGCGGAUGACCUGUGGCUGGGGGUGAAAGGCCAAUCAAACCGGGAGAUAGCUGGUUCUCCCCGAAAGCUAUUUAGGUAGCGCCUCGUGAAUUCAUCUCCGGGGGUAGAGCACUGUUUCGGCUAGGGGGCCAUCCCGGCUUACCAACCCGAUGCAAACUGCGAAUACCGGAGAAUGUUAUCACGGGAGACACACGGCGGGUGCUAACGUCCGUCGUGAAGAGGGAAACAACCCAGACCGCCAGCUAAGGUCCCAAAGUCAUGGUUAAGUGGGAAACGAUGUGGGAAGGCCCAGACAGCCAGGAUGUUGGCUUAGAAGCAGCCAUCAUUUAAAGAAAGCGUAAUAGCUCACUGGUCGAGUCGGCCUGCGCGGAAGAUGUAACGGGGCUAAACCAUGCACCGAAGCUGCGGCAGCGACGCUGAUGCGUUGUUGGGUAGGGGAGCGUUCUGUAAGCCUGCGAAGGUGUGUCGUGAGGCAUGCUGGAGGUAUCAGAAGUGCGAAUGCUGACAUAAGUAACGAUAAAGCGGGUGAAAAGCCCGCUCGCCGGAAGACCAAGGGUUCCUGUCCAACGUUAAUCGGGGCAGGGUGAGUCGACCCCUAAGGCGAGGCCGAAAGGCGUAGUCGAUGGGAAACGGGUUAAUAUUCCCGUACUUGGUGUUACUGCGAAGGGGGGACGGAGAAGGCUAUGUUGGCCGGGCGACGGUUGUCCCGGUUUAAGCGUGUAGGUGUGUGUUCCAGGUAAAUCCGGUUCACUUUAACACUGAGGCGUGAUGACGAGGCACUACGGUGCUGAAGCAACAAAUGCCCUGCUUCCAGGAAAAGCCUCUAAGCAUCAGGUAACAUCAAAUCGUACCCCAAACCGACACAGGUGGUCAGGUAGAGAAUACCAAGGCGCUUGAGAGAACUCGGGUGAAGGAACUAGGCAAAAUGGUGCCGUAACUUCGGGAGAAGGCACGCUGACACGUAGGUGAAGUGAUUUACUCAUGGAGCUGAAGUCAGUCGAAGAUACCAGCUGGCUGCAACUGUUUAUUAAAAACACAGCACUGUGCAAACACGAAAGUGGACGUAUACGGUGUGACGCCUGCCCGGUGCCGGAAGGUUAAUUGAUGGGGUCAGCGCAAGCGAAGCUCCUGAUCGAAGCCCCGGUAAACGGCGGCCGUAACUAUAACGGUCCUAAGGUAGCGAAAUUCCUUGUCGGGUAAGUUCCGACCUGCACGAAUGGCGUAAUGAUGGCCAGGCUGUCUCCACCCGAGACUCAGUGAAAUUGAACUCGCUGUGAAGAUGCAGUGUACCCGCGGCAAGACGGAAAGACCCCGUGAACCUUUACUAUAGCUUGACACUGAACAUUGAGCCUUGAUGUGUAGGAUAGGUGGGAGGCUUUGAAGUGUGGACGCCAGUCUGCAUGGAGCCGGCCUUGAAAUACCACCCUUUAAUGUUUGAUGUUCUAACGUGGACCCGUGAUCCGGGUUGCGGACAGUGUCUGGUGGGUAGUUUGACUGGGGCGGUCUCCUCCUAAAGAGUAACGGAGGAGCACGAAGGUUGGCUAAUCCUGGUCGGACAUCAGGAGGUUAGUGCAAUGGCAUAAGCCAGCUUGACUGCGAGCGUGACGGCGCGAGCAGGUGCGAAAGCAGGUCAUAGUGAUCCGGUGGUUCUGAAUGGAAGGGCCAUCGCUCAACGGAUAAAAGGUACUCCGGGGAUAACAGGCUGAUACCGCCCAAGAGUUCAUAUCGACGGCGGUGUUUGGCACCUCGAUGUCGGCUCAUCACAUCCUGGGGCUGAAGUAGGUCCCAAGGGUAUGGCUGUUCGCCAUUUAAAGUGGUACGCGAGCUGGGUUUAGAACGUCGUGAGACAGUUCGGUCCCUAUCUGCCGUGGGCGCUGGAGAACUGAGGGGGGCUGCUCCUAGUACGAGAGGACCGGAGUGGACGCAUCACUGGUGUUCGGGUUGUCAUGCCAAUGGCACUGCCCGGUAGCUAAAUGCGGAAGAGAUAAGUGCUGAAAGCAUCUAAGCACGAAACUUGCCCCGAGAUGAGUUCUCCCUGAGACUUAGAGUCUCCUGAAGGAACGUUGAAGACGACGACGUUGAUAGGCCGGGUGUGUAAGCGCAGCGAUGCGUUGAGCUAACCGGUACUAAUGAACCGUGAGGCUUAACCUU
rnacentral:rRNA from 1 species